rnacentral:rRNA from 1 species
CCUACGGGGGGCAGCAGUAGGGAAUCUUCCACAAUGGGCGCAAGCCUGAUGGAGCAACACCGCGUGAGUGAAGAAGGGUUUCGGCUCGUAAAGCUCUGUUGUUGGAGAAGAACGUGCGUGAGAGUAACUGUUCACGCAGUGACGGUAUCCAACCAGAAAGUCACGGCUAACUACGUGCCAGCAGCCGCGGUAAUACGGAGGUGGCAAGCGUUAUCCGGAUUUAUUGGGCGUAAAGCGAGCGCAGGCGGUUGCUUAGGUCUGAUGUGAAAGCCUUCGGCUUAACCGAAGAAGUGCAUCGGAAACUGGGAAACUUGAGUGCAGAAGAGGACAGUGGAACUCCAUGUGUAGCGGUAGAAUGCGUAGAUAUAUGGAAGAACACCAGUGGCGAAGGCGGCUGUCUGGUCUGCAACUGACGCUGAGGCUCGAAAGCAUGGGUAGCGAACAGGAUUAGAUACCCCAGUAGUC